CUGAAGUAGCAAAGUCAUGAGGUUGACUUCUGGCUGGAGAGGCUCUGAUAGACCAGAAGCAGGCAGAGGUUUAGAGGCAGCAGAACCAUGGCUCCCCCUUCACCUUCUGCCAUGAUUGUAAGCUUCCUGAGGUCAUCCAAAAGCUGAGCAGAUGCCAACCAUGCUUCCUGAGGCCAAGGUGGUAGGAUCACUUGAAGUUGGGAGUUCAAGACCAGCCUGACCAACAUGGUGAAACCUCGCCUCCACUGAAAAUACAAAAAUUAGCUGGGCAUGGUGGCAGGCACCUGUAAUCCUAGCUACUCGCUAAGACUGAGGCAGGAGAAUCGCUUGAACCCAGGAGACGGAAGUUGCAGUGAGCCGAGAUCAUGCCACUGCACUCCAGCCUGGGCAACAGGGCGAGACUCCACCUCAAAAAAAAAAAAAAUGUGUAAUUAACUGUUCCCCAUGUCAAUAAAUAUUCUCUUCUAAUAUUCUUUUAAAUGAUUUUCUAGUAUGCCAUCCUAACGAUAUGUCAUCACGAAUUUAUAUAAUUCCUUGUCAUUGAACAAUUAGGUUUUUCAAAGAUUUUUUCUUUGCUUUUGUAAAUAAUGUUGCAAUGAACACAGCUGCAGCUAAAUCUUUGCACACAUAAGUGAUUAUCCCCUUAUCAUAAAUUAUUAGAAGGCCAAUUGUUGGGUCAAUGGGCAUGCACAUCUCUUAAAUCUCUUAUACAUAUUGUUCAAUUACGCUCCA
rnacentral:lncRNA from 1 species